rnacentral:rRNA from 1 species
CAGCAGCCGCGGGAAUACGGGGGGGGCAAGUGUUAUUCGGAAUGACUGGGCGUAAAGGGCACGUAGGCGGUGAAAAGGGUGGAAAGUGAAAGUCGCCAAAACACUGGCGGGGUGCUUUCUUGACCAUUUCACUUGAGUGAGAUAGGGGAGAGUGGAAUUUCGUGUGGAGGGAUCAAAUCCUAAGAUAUACGAAGGAACGCCAACCGCGAAGGCAGCUCUCUGGGUCCCCACUGACGCUGGGGUGCGAAAGCAUGGGGAGCAAACAGGAUCAGAUACCCCUGUAGUCCCUGUCUCUUAUACC